UACGGGGGGGGCAAGCGUUGUUCGGAAUUACUGGGCGUAAAGGGCUCGUAGGCGGCCAACUAAGUCAGACGUGAAAUCCCUCGGCUUAACCGGGGAACUGCGUCUGAUACUGGAUGGCUUGAAUCCGGGAGAGGGAUGCGGAAUUCCAGGUGUAGCGGUGAAAUGCGUAGAUAUCAGGAGGAACACCUGCGGUGUAGACGGCUUACUGGACCAUAACUGACGCUGAGGCACGAAAGCGUGGGUAGCAAACAGG
rnacentral:rRNA from 1 species